rnacentral:rRNA from 1 species
GACGAACGCUGGCGGCGUGCUUAACACAUGCAAGUCGAACGGAAAGGCCCUGCUUUUGUGGGGUGCUCGAGUGGCGAACGGGUGAGUAACACGUGAGUAACCUGCCCUUGACUUUGGGAUAACUUCAGGAAACUGGGGCUAAUACCGGAUAGAAGCUCCUGCUGCAUGGUGGGGGUUGGAAAGUUUCGGCGGUUGGGGAUGGACUCGCGGGUUAUCAGCUUGUUGGUGGGGUAGGGGCUUACCAAGGCUUUGACGGGUAGCCGGCCCGGGAGGGUGACCGGCCACAAUGGGACUGCGAUACGGCGCAGACUCCUACGUGAGGCAGCAGUGGGGAAUAUUGCGCAAUGGGCGGAAGCCUGAUGCAGCAGCGCCGCGUGCGGGAUGCCGGGCUUCGGGUUGUAAACCGCUUUCGCCUGUGACGAAGCGUGAGUGACGGUAAUGGGUAAAGAAGCACCGGCUAACUACGUG